AGUGAACGCUGGCGGUAGGCCUAACACAUGCAAGUCGAACGGCAGCACAGUAAGAGCUUGCUCUUACGGGUGGCGAGUGGCGGACGGGUGAGGAAUACAUCGGAAUCUACUUUUUCGUGGGGGAUAACGUAGGGAAACUUACGCUAAUACCGCAUACGACCUACGGUUGAAAGCAGGGGAUCUUCGGACCUUGCGCGAUUGAAUGAGCCGAUGUCGGAUUAGCUAGUUGGCGGGGUAAAGGCCCACCAAGGCGACGAUCCGUAGCUGGUCUGAGAGGAUGAUCAGCCACACUGGAACUGAGAAACGGUCCAGACUCCUACGGGAGGCAGCAGUGGGGAAUAUUGGACAAUGGGCGCAAGCCUGAUCCAGCCAUACCGCGUGGGUGAAGAAGGCCUUCGGGUUGUAAAGCACUUUUGUUGGGAAAGAAAAGCAGCAGGUUAAUACCCCGCUGUUCUGACGGUACCCAAAGAAUAAGCACCGGCUAACUUCGUG
rnacentral:rRNA from 1 species